GAAGUACUUCGGUAUGUAAAGUUCUUUUAUCAAGGAAGAAAAGCAAAUGGCGAACCAUUUGUUUGCCGGUACUUGAUGAAUAAGCCCCGGCUAAUUAUGUGCCAGCAGCCGCGGUAAGACAUAAGGGGCAAGUGUUAUCCGGAAUUAUUGGGCGUAAAGGGUGCGUAGGCGGUCUAGUAAGUCAGUGGUGUAAUGGCAACGCUUAACGUUGUCCGGCUAUUGAAACUGCUAAACUUGAGUUAGAUAGAGGCGAGUGGAAUUCCAUGUGUAGCGGUAAAAUGCGUAAAUAUAUGGAGGAACACCAGAGGCGUAGGCGGCUCGCUGGGUCUUAACUGACGCUGAGGCACGAAAGCGUGGGGAGCAAACAGGAUUAGAUACCCUGGUAGUCCACGCCGUAAACGAUGAGUACUAAGUGUCGGGUUAAACCGGUACUGAAGUUAACACAUUAAGUACUCCGCCUGAGUAGUACGUACGCAAGUAUGAAACUUAAAGGAAUUGACGGGACUCCGCACAAGCGGUGGAUCAUGUUGUUUAAUUCGAAGAUACCCGAAAAACCUUACCAGGUCUUGACAUGUUUUUGCAAAAUGAUAGUAAUAUCGUGGAGGUUACCAGAAACACAGGUGGUGCAUGGUUGUCGUCAGCUCGUGUCGUGAGAUGUUAGGUUAAGUCCUAAAACGAGCGAAACCCUUAUCGUUAGUUGCCAGCACGUUAUGGUGGGGACUUUAACGAGACUGCCAAUGAUAAAUUGGAGGAAGGUGAGGAUCACGUCAAAUCA
rnacentral:rRNA from 1 species